UACGUAGGGGACUAGCGUUGUCCGGAAUCAUUGGGCGUAAAGCGCGUGUAGGCGGUCCGGUAAGUCCGCUGUGAAAGUCGGGGGCUCAACCCUCGAAUGCCGGUGGAUACUGUCGGGCUAGAGUGCGGAAGAGGCGAGUGGAAUUCCUGGUGUAGCGGUGAAAUGCGCAGAUAUCAGGAGGAACACCUAUUGCGAAGGCAGCUCGCUGGGACGUAACUGACGCUGAGACGCGAAAGCGUGGGGAGCAAACAGG
rnacentral:rRNA from 1 species